UUAGAUCAGAAGCGAGAAUGUUGACAUGAGUAGCGAUAAAGAGGGUGAGAGACCCUCUCGCCAUAAGUCCAAGGGUUCCUGCUUAAAGCUAAUCUGAGCAGGGUAAGCCGGCCCCUAAGGCGAGGCCGAAAGGCGUAGUCGAUGGGAACCACGUUAAUAUUCGUGGGCCAGGAGGAAGUGACGGAUCUCGAAGGUAGUUUGCCCUUAUCGGAUUGGGUGGGCUGCUCAGAGGUUCCAGGAAAUAGCCCUCCAUCAGACCGUACCCUAAACCGACACAGGUGGACUGGUAGAGUAUACCAAGGCGCUUGAGAGAACCACGUUAAAGGAACUCGGCAAAAUGCCUCCGUAAGUUCGCGAGAAGGAGGCCCCAUAUCUGGGCAACCAGGUGUGGGGGGCACAAACUAGGGGGUGGCGACUGUUUACUUAAAACACAGGGCUGUGCGAAGCCGUAAGGCGACGUAUACAGUCUGACGCCUGCCCGGUGCUGGAAGGUUAAAAGGAGGGGUGCAAGCUCUGAAUUGAAGCCCCAGUAAACGGCGGCCGUAACGAUAACGGUCCUAAGGUAGCGAAAUUCCUUGUCGGGUAAGUUCCGACCUGCACGAAUGGCGUAACGAUCUCCCCGCUGUCUCUAACGUGGACUCAGCGAAAUUGAACUGUGUGUCAAGAUGCACACUACCCGCGGUUAGACGGAAAGACCCCAUGCACCUUUACUCCAGCUUUGCACUGGUAUCAGGAUUGUGAUGUGCAGGAUAGGUGGUAGGCAUCGAAGCGGGGACGCCAGUUCUCGUGGAGCCUCCCUUGAGAUACCACCCUUCGCCAUCUUGAUAUCUAACCGCGGCCCGUUAUCCGGGUCCGGGACCCUGCAUGGUGGGGAGUUUGACUGGGGCGGUCGCCUCCCAAACAGUAACGGAGGCGCGCGAAGGUAGGCUCAGACCGGUCGGAAAUCGGUCGUUGAGUGCAAUGGCAGAAGCCUGCCUGACUGCAAGUCUGACAAGACGAGCAGAGACGAAAGUCGGUCAUAGUGAUCCGGUGGUCCCAAGUGGGAGGGCCAUCGCUCAACGGAUAAAAGGUACGCUGGGGAUAACAGGCUGAUGGUGCCCAAGAGUCCAUAUCGACGGCAUCGUUUGGCACCUCGAUGUCGGCUCAUCUCAUCCUGGGGCUGGAGCAGGUCCCAAGGGUAUGGCUGUUCGCCAUUUAAAGAGGUACGUGAGCUGGGUUUAGAACGUCGUGAGACAGUUCGGUCCCUAUCUGCCGUGGGUGUAGGAGACUUGAGAAGAGUUGCCCCUAGUACGAGAGGACCGGGGUGAACGAACCACUGGUGGACCAGUUGUCGUGCCAACGGCAGUGCUGGGUAGCUAUGUUCGGACAGGAUAACCGCUGAAGGCAUCUAAGCGGGAAGCCCCCUUC
rnacentral:rRNA from 1 species